CCAUUUUGCUUCUGACGGCUGUAGGUUACAUCUUCCUCUCCUCUAGCUGGCAACUGAAGAUAAGACUAUCCAAAGGACUGUGGUGUUGGGCUUGGAGGACUUUCUCACUGAGUUCCUUACUUGCAGAGAGAUAAGAAGCCUAUAUUACUGUGAUGCUGGCAGACCAGAUUUGCAGAUUUGGCCUGUGUCUCCACAAAUGAGUAAUCCAAUCUGUGAUGCAGAUACUGAAGAACAGAGAGGUCAAUAGCCUGAGUUUUCAGGAGUCCCAAGUUUCCAUAGCUACAAUGAAGUCAAUGGGAGCUGCAGGUGCUCAGCACAUCUUAAAAACAGGCUGCAGGAUCGGUGACAUGUUCCAUCAUGAUGAGCAAAGUGCCACCUUAGAGCUCUGAGUCAGUGACGGGAACUGGCCACUCAUAAGAAGGGUCAAGGACCAUAGCAAAUUAAAAACCAAUCUAACCCAGAGGCAGAAAGAAGUACAGUACCAGAUGCUUUAUUGGAAAACUGUGCUAAUUACAUAGGUGAAGACAGACAACGGAGCAGGAAUUCAGAUUGAAGGUGGUGAAAGAUGGAUUGAAGUAGGUGUCCCUCAAAAAAUAGUCCUGCAGACUAAGCACCACCACUGCAACAGCUCAAGUACCUCUUGACUUAGCUGCAGUUGAUGAACCUACAAGUGUUCAAGAAAAACUCUAUCUAUACCUUGUUGCAACUGAGGUCACAAAGCUUAACUUAAGAGUGACCAGACUUUGAAGGUGAAAAUACCUGAGCAUUCACUCCAAAAAUCCUAGCAGUUGUGCUUAGCACCAAAAAAGAAAAGUCAUAAAUAGCUGCUGGAAUAGCUUCAACCACCACUGACAUACAGCUAUGAUGGAGUUCCACAGUACAGUGCAGAGCUUUGGAGAACCGUUCAGAAGAAGAAGUGGGGAAUAAUGCCAUCACUAGUUAAAACUCAUGAAAUUGGAAUCUCUAACGACUAUAAGGUGAAAGAAGGACAUUGGGUUUACAUCUCAUCCAAAGUACCACACCUCCAGAAGCACAGAUUCUGGUAGCACCAUGCUAAGAAAUGGAUUAAGUACUGACUCAAAGGGAAGAGUGCCACCUAUUGAAUAACUAACCGCCUCAAGGAGUGGAAUUAUACAUUAUCCAAGAAUCUGCAAUAGCCUAGGGUUAUAAGUGUGAAUUAUUUUUCUCUUGAAUGGAUGGCACGCAACAUUAAUUAUUGUUAUGCGGAGUUUGCAUAUUAUUCUUAGUGGAUUCAUACUGUCACCAAAAUGACCCACAAAACAUUACAGGGAAUGCUUGGCAGUUCGUAUUAAUAGAAGUGCAGAUGUAGGUGGUGACCAUCAUCUUGUAUUGAGCAAGCUUCAGAUAAAAUUGAGAAAGACGAAGAAAGUUUAUGGGCAACAAAGACAGUGUUAUGUGAUGUAGAAUUGGAGGAGGUGAACGACUUCAAAUAUCUUGGUAGUUACAUAUCGGCUGAUGGCAAUAUUCAGAAGGAGCU